CAAUAGCGUAUAUUAAAGUUGUUGCAGUUAAAAAGCUCGUAGUUGGAUUUCUGAAUUGAAUAUCCGGUCCGCUCGUCUCUGAUGAGUGCGUACUUCUGGAUAUUGGAUUCAUUUUUUGUGAGGACAUUUAUCUGUCAUUAAGUUGAUGGAUUUAUAGACUUGCAUCGUUUACUGUGAAAAAAUUAGAGUGUUUAAAGCAGGCGUUCGCCCAUUUGAAUACAUUAGCAUGGAAUAAUAAGAUAUGACUUUGGUGGUCUAUUUUGUUGGUUUGCACACCAGAGUAAUGAUUAAUAGGGACAGUUGGGGGUAUUCAUAUUUCAACGUCAGAGGUGAAAUUCUUAGAUCGUUGAAAGAUGACCUUAGGCGAAAGCAUUUACCAUGGAUGUUUUCAUUA
rnacentral:rRNA from 1 species